GCGCGCAGCUGGCGGCGGCUGCAGGCGCUAAACACUCGCGGGAACGGGUGCCUACGGGCCGGGGAGGGCGUCGGGCGUGCGGGGACCACCCCCUGUCAACCCCUGCUCGUCUCCAAUCCCCUCCCCCCGGCACACAGGUGCUUGGCUACGCAGCCGCCAGAUGCGCGAACACCGCCUGAGCAACUGGCGGCUAGAAUUCUCUAGAGGCAGAGCCCAGAGAGGGGCUCUUCCCCCCGCCGACCCAACCUGAUCCACAUAGCUGGCGACCUCCAGAAGACGCUGUUUGGUGUGGUUCAAGUUCCGGUGCUGGGUCAAGAACUAGAAAAGCAGCAAGCAAUACCGCGUGUGAGGACGGGCUGAGCUCACCCCAUCCAGGCCUGCCAACCCCCUUGGGACUUCUCUCACCAGAGUGUGAUCCGCCACUAUGUACAGCUCCAGAUACCUCGGGCUCCCCAGGGACUCCCGCCUCUCCUGGGGAGGCGGUAAUGGUGACCCUGAGUGGCGGGCUGUUGGGCUUGAGCCCUGACCACCAACCCCAAUUCCCAUAAAGCACAAAGUUAACUUUAAAA